ACCAACGCCAGGUCUACUCGGCCCGAAAGUCCCAGCAGCCCCCGGGCCGCGCUUCGCCGGGCCGCGCGGCCAGUUCGUGGCCCCCUCGCUGGUCAGGACCUAAGAGGCUGUGCUCGGGAACCUCAGAGUGGGUCAACAUUCGUGUCCUAUGUUGGACUGCAGAGCCCAAAGGUCUCCGAUUCUCUUGCAAUCAAGUCUCCAAGACUCUCCCUGUGUCACCACUCCAAUCACUGUGAUAGGCCAACAUCAAGACCCUCACAGAACCAGUUUCUUGGAAGCCCGGGCUGCGCACCAUUAACACUGUUGCCACACGUGAAGGGAUGGGCUUCCUGGAGCCUGUUGACACCCGAACUGCAAGCUGAAAACAGGAGCUGGUCAGGCAAGAAGUAGGGAGAGGUCUGAUGGUAAGAGUAAGGGCAUUUGCAAUGUGGUCAAUGUUUAAUGAAUGAGUUAUUGAAUCAGAAAAUAAUUAAAAUGCAUACACAAACCAGUA